AAGCCCUGAGUUGUCAAAAGCUUAAGAUUCCAGAGUGUGUUGUUUCGUCUCAUGUGAGAUGCUUGGCAUCAUAAUGAUACACAUGCAGGUCUUGGCACUUAGGGUAAAUAAUUCCCUAGACUCUUUGCCCAGUGCCCUUUGUGUCUGCCAGGUAUGGGACACAUUUCUGUAGAUGAAUGAAGCACAAGAUACAAUUGCAUAUCCUUCACUUACUGGUUGCAGAUACACGUUGCCAUCAUAAAUCUGACACCUGAAAUGAUACCAGCCAGUCCACACCCCUUUGCAAACCAUGUAAGGGAUGACCCCACCCAGCAUGGGUGUGGAAGGGAAAGGGUGAGGAAAAGUCAACAUGUGGAGUGAUUCCAGGAAAGUAUCAUCAGCAUCCAUAGGAUCAAUGCGCAUGAAGCUGCAAAGAACAUGCUCUGGGAAGAUAGUGUGUGAAGAGCCCACCUCCCUAACAUCAUCUCUAGAGGAUGAAGGUGGUGUCCAGCAAAAGAGAGAGUUUCCCGAACACAGGUGCCAAAUUGCAUUGAUCUCCAUGACUUAAGAAUGACCAAAUGCACACUGUGCCAUCAGCCCCGGAAGUAGAACAUUUCCAGGAACUAGUACCUCCUUGUAUGCUCCCAUUCACUUCAGGUCUCUCCACAGCCCCUGGAAUCCCGUUCCCGGGAGUGACUAAUGGACUAUGGCGGCAAUGAUGAAAUGUCCAAGAAUUCCGAAAUGAGUAGCCAUAUAAAGUUGAACCUGCUGGGGAGGCCCUCAGGAAUCCUAGACCACGCGGAGGAGAACCUAGGCAGUCUGCAAUGACUGCCGGCCAUGUAUGUGCACCAUCUUGGGAGGAAGUCCUUCAGCCCCAGGCCAGGUUCCAGGAGAUGCAUCCCGGCUGCCGCCUUGACAACCACGUCAGGAGAGGCCCUACCCAGGACCAGACACCUACCCCUGCUCCUGGAUUUCUGACCUCAGCAACUGGAAGGAGAUUCUUCAAGGAGAUAAAGAAGGUGAACUGUGGCCAAAGGUUUGGGGCCCUGACUCAUC